rnacentral:rRNA from 1 species
GUAACACGUAUCCAACCUGCCGAUGACUCGGGGAUAGCCUUUCGAAAGAAAGAAUUAAUACCCGAUGGCAUAGUUCUUCCGCAUGGUAGAACUAUUAAAGAAUUUCGGUCAUCGAUGGGGAUGCGUUCCAUUAGGUUGUUGGCGGGGUAACGGCCCACCAAGCCUUCGAUGGAUAGGGGUUCUGAGAGGAAGGUCCCCCACAUUGGAACUGAGACACGGUCCAAACUCCUACGGGAGGCAGCAUG